GGAGAGGUGGCCGAGUGGUCGAAGGCGCACGCUUGGAAAGCGUGUAUGCGCCGAAAGCGCAUCAUGGGUUCGAAUCCCAUUCUCUCCG
rnacentral:tRNA from 1 species